UUCAGGGAUGGCGCAUGAAGAGGAGA
rnacentral:miRNA from 1 species